rnacentral:rRNA from 1 species
GACGAACGCUGGCGGCGUGCCUAAUACAUGCAAGUAGAACGCUGAAGAGAGGAGCUUCCUCUUCUUGGAUGAGUUGCGAACGGGUGAGUAACGCGUAGGUAACCUGCCUUGUAGCGGGGGAUAACUACUGGAAACGAUAGCUAAUACCGCAUAACAAUGGAUGACACAUGUCCUUUAUUUGAAAGGGGCAAUUGCUCCACUACAAGAUGGACCUGCGUUGUAUUAGCUAGUAGGUGAGGUAAUGGCUCACCUAGGCGACGAUACAUAGCCGACCUGAGAGGGUGGUCGGCCACACUGGGACUGAGACACGGCCCAGACUCCUACGGGAGGCAGCAGUAGGGAAUCUUCGGCAAUGGGGGCAACCCUGACCGAGCAACGCCGCGUGAGUGAAGAAGGUUUUCGGAUCGUAAAGCUCUGUUGUAAGUCAAGAACGGGUGUGAGAGUGGAAAGUGCACACUGUGACGGUAGCUUACCAGAAAGGGACGGCGAACUACGU